rnacentral:rRNA from 1 species
AGAGUUGAUCUGCUCAGGACGAACGCUGGCGGCGUGCUUAACACAUGCAAGUCGACGGAAAGGCCCUGCUUGCAGGGUACGUCGAGUGGGCGAACGGGUGAGUAACACGUGGGUGAUCUGCCCUGCACUUCGGGAUAAGCCUGGGAAACUGGGUCUAAUACCGGAUAGGAGCCAUUUUUAGUGUGAUGGUUGGAAAGUUUUUUCGGUGUAGGAUGAGCUCGCGGCCUAUCAGCUUGUUGGUGGGGGUAAUGGCCUACCAAGGCGGCGACGGGUAGCCGGCCUGAGAGGGUGGACGGCCACAUUGGGACUGAGAUACGGCCCAGACUCCUACAGGAGGCAGCAGUGGGGAAUAUUGCACAAUGGGCGCAAGCCUGAUGCAGCGACGCCGCGUGGGGGAUGACGGCCUUCGGGUUGUAAACUCCUUUCGCUAGGGACGAAGCUUUUGUGACGGUACCUAGAUAAGAAGCACCGGCUAACUACGUG